ensembl:lncRNA
CUACCCACCCCACGGCUCCCCGACUCAGUCCCUCAGGGCAGCUGUCCCCACAGACCUGUUUGGGCUCUGGGCUCAUCCCUGGGGCCUGGCUGCCACCCUCAUCCCAGGCUCUUCCCGGGUCCCCGCCUGGUGUCCUGCACCUCCCCUACCUUGCAGCCUCUCCCUUGGUCCCCUCAGGGCCCCCUCUCCUGUGUCAUUCCUGGCGCUCGUCAUUUUUGGCUUUGUGUUAGAGCUAUGCAUGUGCUUCCUUUCCCUCAGCACUGUCUGAGAGGCUCAGUAGCCCUGCCUGCUGCUCUGGGGAGUGACUGUGGGAAGCCUGGUGUCAACCCGGUACUUCCUCAAGUGUGUUGAUGAGUUUCUGGGACCCUGCUCCUGGUCUCUCUACAACCCACCCCGACCCCAGCAAGCCUCAUGAAUGGGGCACCCCUGGGAGACAGGAGGAAGAGUAGAUGGAAGCCUGGUAGAUAGUGAUACAGGCCUCAUACAGACCAACCCUGAUCCUCCAGUGUCACCUCUCUGAGCCCUACCUGUGAUACGGAGAUCCAGGGCGGGCCUGACCACUGAACAGAAAUGCGCUUGGACUUCUCGGCUCCGCACAGAGUGAGUGACUCUUCACACCCGUCAAAAUAUGAAACUGCCUGCCACCCAGCUCCAGAGGAGGACAGUGAGGUUCAGCGAAGAGACUUCUUUCUGCCCCUCCCAUUUCGUGUCCAGAUGAAUGAACCCACAAGAACUUGGCUGGCUGGCUCUGAAUUCCGACUUCCCUGGGAAAGCACAGAACGUUACCUACACUGUUUAGCUGCUCCAGAAAGAGUUCUGCCAGGAGCAGAGGGGUGUAUCAGGGAGUUGUCUGAACAACCUCAGUGGCGUGACUCCAUUGAUAUGAGGAUCUGCCCUCGGACGGGAGGCGUCCUCUCUCUGAGGCAGGAAGGCCGUCUGAGGAGCCGACGGAGACACAGCCCUCCUCUCCCCAGUGCUGGGGAAGGAGAUUCUCUCUCUUGAACCCACAUCCACUUUUCCCACGGGACACAGGUGCCUCCACACCUCCCCCUGCCCCCCGCUCCCCACAGUCACUGGGCCCAUGAAAGAGGAGAAAUCUGGGAGAGGAGCUGGGCAAGUUGUAAAAAGAAGUUGUCUGUAGAAUUCCCCCUCUUCCUGCCUUGGGGCAUCCAGGCUUCAGGAACAUGGGGUGUCCUGUGAGGCUCUUGGUGUUCAUGUCCCUGGCCCACUGCUGCCUGACUUCUGACAAAGACCCCCUCACCCAUCUCAGGGCCUCUCCAGCCCCAUGCCUGCCUUGGCCUGUCCUCCUACAGCCUCAUGAAAAAGCCUGUCCUGCCUUCCCUUGUACUGAUCCUUGGCCUGGAAUGCUGACCCCACCCUGGCCUUUCGGCCCUCUGCCAAGUCCCGCUGCGCCCUCUCGCCUCAGUUCCCUGCUUCUACCCCACUUGACUGUGACCACCCCUCAUCCCAUCCCCACCUUGAAAUCCCCUUUGCGCCCAACACACAUUACUAAUGGGACCACUUUUGGUCUCGGGUAUAAGUAUCCGGCAGCUGUCCUGAGUUUUGCACUUGACUGAGGCCAUUGAGGUAGAGGCAACCUCGCUGUGUUUUUCCCCAAUGAGGAACAGAGUAGUUGCUCAUCAGUGUGUGCUGAAGGAACACUGAUGGACUCAGGUUAGCCCACCUCCACACUGCCCACCAAAUGAGAAGUGUUUGCCCGUGGGAACAGGGUGGUGGGUCCCUAGAACUAGGUGGACUUCCAGGGCGUAUUCAGUGGGCCGGCUGGGCACUCAGCACUGUUUAGGGCAUUGUUUGCAUGGGACAUGCACUCUGAGUUCCAUACAGCCUGGCUUCAGAUAAGCUCACAGGAACAAGUUGUCUUCUUUGAACUUGGCGACUGUCUGCAUUUGCCCAUAAGCAGGCCCAGGAGCCCAGUCUAAAGACUGGUCAAGAUGGGAAGACCAUAAGCAUUCCUGAAGCAGGAAGGAGCAGACAUGAAACAGAAAGUCCCCCAGCUCCUUGUCCUUUGAAAUUAUAAAGACCUGAAACCAUCUCCCCAGCCCACCCCUCCAGCACAACGAAACCCUAGCAAUUCCACUGUUGCCAGGAUUACAGCUGUCUACUUCACUGUGUCCUAAACAGAUUUCUCUGAACCUUGAAGGUCAACACUGCAGCACUUCCUGGAUAAAAAAUAAAAAAGUCGUUAGCUCCCAUUAGCCAAGGCCCACCUCUGGGCAUAUGGUAAGGACUGCAUCACUCUCCCCUUCCCUUUUAACC